rnacentral:misc_RNA from 1 species
GGUAGCCACUCAAAAGGAAAGCAGCAGUUCUGAGAGCUCCAGCAAUACUUCAGAUGAUGAGGAAGAAAGUGAGGAUGAAAAACUCUCGAAAACCCCAAAGAAAAAUGGAAAGGUAAUUACUAAAAAGGAAAGCAGCAGUUCUGAGGAGAGUUCCAGUGAUAGUUCAGAUGAUGAGGAACAAAGCGAGGAUGAAAAACCCACGAAAACCCCAAAGAACAAUAGCACUGAUGUAGAAAUGGUAGAUGCUGCUACUCCACAUGCAACCACCAAGAAGACUGAUCUGCAAUCUGCUAAGAAAGCUCCUAAGACUCCAGUUACUUCUGAGGUUCAGUCUACAGAUUCAAAGACAUUAUUUGUUGGCAACCUACCUUUUGAAGUUGAACGACCUGAUGUGGAAAGUUUCUUUGAAGGUGCU